UACGUGGGGGGCAAGCGUUGCUCGGAAUUACUGGGCGUAAAGGGCGCGUAGGCGGCUCAUACAGUCAGAUGUGAAAUUCCUGGGCUUAACCUGGGGGCUGCAUUUGAUACGUGUGGGCUUGAGUGGGGAAGAGGGUCGUGGAAUUCCCAGCGUAGAGGUGAAAUUCGUAGAUAUUGGGAAGAACACCGGUGGCGAAGGCGGCGACCUGGUCCUUGACUGACGCUGAGGCGCGAAAGCGUGGGGAGCAAACAGG
rnacentral:rRNA from 1 species